rnacentral:rRNA from 1 species
AGGAUGAACGCUAGCUACAGGCUUAACACAUGCAAGUCGAGGGGCAGCGGGAUUGAAGCUUGCUUCAAUUGCCGGCGGACCGGCGCACGGGUGAGUAACACGUAUCCAACCUGCCGUCUACUCUUGGACAGCCUUCUGAAAGGAAGAUUUAAUACAAGAUGGCAUCAUGAGUCCGCAUGUUCACAUGAUUAAAGGUAUUCCGGUAGACGAUGGGGAUGCGUUCCAUUAGAUAGUAGGCGGGGUAACGGCCCACCUAGUCUUCGAUGGAUAGGGGUUCUGAGAGGAAGGUCCCCCACAUUGGAACUGAGACACGGUCCAAACUCCUACGGGAGGCAGCAGUGAGGAAUAUUGGUCAAUGGGCGAGAGCCUGAACCAGCCAAGUAGCGUGAAGGAUGACUGCCCUAUGGGUUGUAAACUUCUUUUAUAAAGGAAUAAAGUCGGGUAUGGAUACCCGUUUGCAUGUACUUUAUGAAUAAGGAUCGGCUAACUCCGUG